CCUUUCAGUUACUAGUCCAAUGCUCUAACCACCAGGCUACCUGCCAAGAGACUCAGAGAGAGGAGACUCAGAGAGAGAAGGCGACUCAGAGAGAGAAGGCGACUCAGAGAGAGAAGGCGACUCAGAGAGAG
rnacentral:other from 1 species